rnacentral:rRNA from 1 species
AUGGAUUUUCUGAUGAGCGGGAAAUUGGCAGAGGUGGAUAUGCAGUGGGUUAUUGCGGAUGUACGGCAAAGGUUGCUCUGCUUUGAGUACCUGGAUAAGGGAACUCUCGAUAAGUAUAUCGCUGAUGCAUCUACUGGACUUGACUGGAGAAAGCGCUACCAAAUAAUCAAUGGGAUUUGCAAGGGACUACACUACCUCCAUCAAAAUCAAAUUCUUCACUUGGAUCUUAAACCUCCAAACAUUUUGUUGGAUGAUAGUAUGUUUCCCAAAAUUGCGGAUUUUGGUUUAUCAAGGUGUUUUGAUGAAAAGCAAAGUCGCGCUUUUACAACAAACAUAGCUGGAACACUGGGAUAUUUGCCACCAGAAUUCGGUAGCCAUGAAAUCACAUACCAGUUUGACUUGUACAGUCUUGGUGUCAUAAUUAUGGAGAUACUGACCGGAAAGAGGGGGUAUGAAGCUGUUGAGGAUGUAAGAAUAGCUAUGACGCAUUUCUAA